GGGCCUGUUGGUGGGCUCUAGAGGCGGUUGUGCGUUUGGCCGCCCUCGCCUGGUUUUCCUGCCAGACACCCUCAAGGUCUCCAGGCCGCAGCUGUGUAGCGCGCUGUGCACACCCUCCGCCAUCAGAGCUACACCCCCUCCUGAGAGCAAACUGACUGCUUGUAACUCCCCCCCCCCAUCCUUAUUCCUUCCCAACCAUCGCACUCCCUGGGCAUCUCGAACAUCCUUCCAAUCCUGUGAGACCUUGGGAGAGUUGGGCAGGAUGUGACCCAUGCAUGCAUGCCCAGGGCACCCAAACCUGGGCCACAGAGCCGACCUCUUCCCAUUGCUGAGAAGCAAAACAAGGCCAGGUCCGGAACCGGAGCUGGAGGGAUAGAAUUGCUGUCUGAUGUCAGACAGCCUAUUGGCAUCCUAGCCCUAAGUCCGUGCCAAAGUUUAAGUGGUUUUGGACGAAUUAUCACACCUCUCAAGGCCCCGAUGUCCUCAUCUGCAAAACAAACCCGAAGAUCUAUCUGAGAAGCUAGGAAGAAAUUUAGAAAUAAAGAGCCCCCCGGUCAGCCUCCGGAACAUCUAAAAUGGGAAAAAUCUGACAAUGCCAAAUGCUGGCAAGAAAGGGAGCAACUGGAAGGCUUGUACACUACUCUUGUGGAGAUGCAAAACACACUGCCAUGUGGAUAUCUGCUUUCUUAUUUGUUUCGGGUUUGUUUGAUUGGUUCUGAGGCAGAGCCCCACUAUGUAGUACUGGCUGGCCUUGAAUUCACUACCUAGACCAGGCUGGCCUCAAACUCACAGAGAUCUCCCUGCCUCUGCCUUCUGAGUGCUGCCACACCAUGCACAACCUGGAAAUCUGCUUUAAAGGAUCCAGUGCCCAGUACUUUCACACCCAAGAGGCUUCCCUAACUUCUGUCUUCUGUUCUUAGCAGUGAUGUUCGGAGUAGCCUUAGGACAAGACUGUGCUGAUAUAAUCUGUAGGUCAUUAAAGGGUUAUAUAAAUGGUGGCAUACUCACUAUUGGAUUGACACUGGAUAAUUUACAACCACAUACAAAGAAUAUGGGUGACUCUUACAAAAGGACUUUGAGCAAAAGAAGUCAGAUAAGAGCUGGGCACUGAUCAGUGUGGAAACUCGGGAUUCUCAGAAGUUCAAAGCCAGCUUGGGCAAUUUAGUGAGUACCAGCUUUGACUACUAUGAAUGAAUGAAUGAAUGAAUGAGGUACAGUCCUCCACUUGUUUUCCCAGCGCUUGGGAGGUCUGUGUAACAUUGAGAGUUCCAAGCUGGCUUUGACUAUAUGAAAAUCUAUCUUGGGGAAGGAAAAGUUAGAUGUAUAAGGUCUAUAUCUCAUGCCCAUGGAGUUGUAGAUGGUGCAGCAAGUAUUGGGAAUCGGGGCAAUGGCUAAACUUGAGGGAGGGUGGCAGGAAGUGGGUAUGAUGGGUGAGUCCUUGUGGUUCCUGUGCACAUCUGUGUGUGACUCAUGGGUGACCACCAAUGAGGGCAUGGCUCCCCUGUUGACAUUUUGUUGUUGUUGUUGUUGUUUAGGUAUUUACUUAUUUAGAGUAUAUAUAUUUUUUCAAGGCAGGGUUUCUUUGUGUAGCCCUGGCUGUCCUAGAACUAGCUCUGUAGACUAGGCUGGCCUCGAACUUACAGAGAUUCUCCUGUUUCUCCCUCCCACAUGCUGGGAUUAAAAUUGUCCACCACUACUGCC
ensembl:processed_transcript 1700010B13Rik RIKEN cDNA 1700010B13 gene